UCGUUUGAUUCGGGUAUUAGGUGCUUGGGAUUGGACUAGGCGCACCUAAUCCCAGGUUUUCCCUCGUUUGGUUCCUGCAAAAGCUCUUGGGAUUACUAAUACCAGGAUUCAUUUAAUCCCUAUAUGGGGGUCACUAAGUUGUCCCAUGGGGGGGGGUAGGGAUUGUUAUUCUCGGACUAAAAAACACGGAAGGUGACGAGUGAAUAAUUGCAAAAAUGCCACGGAAAUAAAAAUCUUCGUUCUUUCCAUCUCUCGACCGUUCUUCUUCCCAUUCGGCGUUCUCUCCGUCUCUCCCACCAGUCGACACCAUCACGACUUCGGUCAGACCCAUCACCGGAGGAACUUCUCAAAUAUCUUCAAGAAAUCGAACCAGAUGUACAAUAUCACUGGAAAUGGGUUAGAUUGUACAUCAGAGGAGAUCCAGGUGUUCAUCGUAGUUACCCAUUUGAUCAGGCAAAUCCAAAUGAUGUGUGGUGUGGCUGUAAUUAUUGUCCAUGUUGCUCGAGAGGUAUUACUCUUGACACCACACAUCAUUUGGAUUUGCUUGAUCAAUUGGAGUAGAUAGCGAUAUAAUUUGGGAGGACUAAUGUAAGGUAAGAUUUUUCGUACAACGCAUAUUCGGUUAGGUUUGUUAGCCAUGUAAAUAACCAUUGUUGCCUAUGGCCUAGUAGACAAGGAAUAUUAAAUGAGGAUCAAGCUUGUGUUGAUUCUUUAGUGAUGCAAGAGGAGACUAAAAAGGGGGACCAAGUGAGUUUUUGUUUUUCCAGGGAUGAAGAUAAUGCGAUCAUGGAGAAGGAAGAGACCUUUGUUAUUGAUGGUGCAUGGGAUGUCAAGUCUGGGAAUGGAGCAAUUGCUUUGUUAGAUGAUAUGAUCAUGGAAAAGAUGAGUUCCAGGUGGAAUUGUGUACUGCUUCUUAUGCUCUUUCUGGAAUGAAUAAUUUCGCCGACAAGUUGGGUGGUGCUUUAUGUCAUGCAUUUUUUGUGAUGGCUUUAGCAUGUUAUGGGAGAGACAAAUAGUCCUGGAAUUGGCAUUUUGUUAUGGCACUUUAUUUGUAACUAUGUUGGAAAAUAUGUGCCCAAAUUGUGGAAUUGUUCGGUUGCAAUGCCCAGAUUAUUGUUGGUUGCAAUGCCCAUAUUUAUUUUAUUGAAUUCAUGGUCUGAUUCAAUCA